CCUACCCAGCCGUAUGCAUCAUGUGUUGAGAAAUUUUGUGCUUAACUAUUGCAGUAUGAUUACUGAGCACCUGCUAUUUUCUGGGAACUGUUAGUAUGCUUGGCAAUAGAUAAAGAUGAGUAAGAGAUCACGUUGCCCUUGAGGCACUCCUGGAUCGAAGAUGACCACAGAGAACUACUACAGUGUAGUGCAGUGUUUAUAAAUAUACAGAAGCUUUUUUGUUAAUUCAGUCAGCGUUUUCUAAGCAGCCAUAUCCACUAAAGUGCUGGGAACAGAGGGUUAGAAGCCUUGUCAACAGGAAGUGAAUUCUUCCUAUCAAAUACAGUCUUCUAUUGAUUGUCUCCUUGCAAGAAGCAGAUGGCUUCCAAACACCGCAGAGGACACUGAGGCCGACGCACCAAAAGCCGCCUUUGCACUUAAACUGUGUGAAGCUCAAGGGGACUCAGCAGAAGACUGAGGUGAGGCAUCUGCAAAUAAUGACCCACCUCAGGAAAGAGUAGGUAAGCAAGUCAGAGAUCUGUCCUGUGCCUACCCCCAGUCCUCACCUUUCCCAAGACCCCUCACAGUGAAAAUACCUGACACACUAGGGGGCCAGGAGCUCACCUCUACCAUCACCCAUGAACUUCUGGGGGAGCCCAGUCUUCCCCCGGCCCCCACUGUGAAUGAGUCAACUCUUUUUCUGGUUUAUAAGUCCCACUCCUCAGCAUGACCGGCGCACUGUGCUCCUAAAGCCUUACUUUUCACCUCUCAGGGUCUCCUAACGGUGGCAAGGAGGUGUCGCUGAGUGCCACCGAUGGACCAAAUGCUCCAAACAUCCUCAUCUUCCCCCCGCCCCCUUGUCUUCUCUUUGGACUGUCCUUAGAAAACAAGCCAUAAAGCACUUUUUUUCCCUUAAUUUCUUUCCUCAAACUUACCUCUAUUUUUUUUUUUUUUCUUAAGGCUUCAUGGGGCCAGGGCUUCUAAAACUCGUCUGGACCUUUAAUAUGAUCUUCAAGAAUUGUGUAGAACUUACCAG